rnacentral:rRNA from 1 species
GACGAACGCUGGCGGCGUGCUUAACACAUGCAAGUCGAACGAAGUGGCGAACGGGUGAGUAACGCGUAAUCAACCUGCCCUUCAGAGGGGGACAACAGUUGGACACGACUGCUAAUACCGCAUACUGAAGGAGGGGAUUGCGUUUGAAGAGCUAGUUGGAGGGGUAACGGCCCACCAAGGCGAUGAUCAGUAGCCGGUCUGAGAGGAAUAACAGGCACAUUGGGCCUGAGACACGGCCCAGACUCGUACGGGAGGGAGCAGUGGGGAAACUUCGGCGAUAGACGUAAGUGUAGAAGAGCAAGGCCGGGUAGGUGAUGACGGCCGUCGGGUUGUAGAGCUCUGUUGCUCAGGACGCGGUACCGGAAUAGGAAGCAACGGCUAACUACGUGCCAGCCGCCGCGGUAAUUC